rnacentral:lncRNA from 1 species
GGCUUCCUUGUGCCUCCGAGCCCAGUGGAGGACGAACACUGAGGUUUCUGUGGUGCUGGAUACAGCACAGGGUGGCGUGACCUGAAGACAAGAAAGGGGGAGGAGGGGGUCCUCCUGGAGUCCAGUGCCUGGUGAAGUGUGGGGCAGGCUCCAGACUGGGCAGGGAAAGGCCUCGGAUCCCAGUGUCACAGCAGAGGCCAGACACUCUUCCUUGGUUCAAGGUGAAUAGGUCACAGGAACUGAGACGGGCUUCCCACAUACAACCACUGGGAGGGCAAAGGUAGGGAAGGGUACAGGCCGGAAACAACGAGGUGCCCAAGGUAAGAGGCAGGCCCUCGUCAGCCUCGGAUACUGUCUCCUACUCCCAACCCUUGGGCCCAAUAGAGGAACCAGUUGAAAAGGAAGGCCCGACAUAUUUCCAUCAGCAAGCAACAGGACCACCAACUCCUCCGUGUUGCCCAGCUCCCACUGAGAGUGGACAUACAGUCAUACCCAUACCCAACACGCAUCCCAGUCUGUGCGGAGCAGUCCAUCAUCAUCCUCCCUAGCUUCGGACGACAGCCGACUAAGACCCUUUUGGAGCACCAUCACUUCUCUGUACAGUGGCCCAGGCUCAAACCACCCUGUGCUCUGCAGGUCCUGGAUCUCUAAGGGGUGAGGCCAGAGCUGCGGUCCUUCUGAGGCCCCAGCCUCCCCAGAUGGCGAGGGGAAUGGGCUGCUGGCCACAAGAGUUGGCGAGCGCAUUCCAGACCCUAUAAAAAGACAAACGCCCUGGCUGCCAGAGGCUUAGGCUCCAGCCUCGUGGAGGACGCUGCAGCAACUUGAACCCCAGGAAUGCGACAGGGGCCUGGUGGAGCCUGCUGAUGCCUGAGGGGUGGGAAGCCACCCUGCAGCCCAGGAGGGGCCAAAUGGGCAGCCAUCUUGCAGAGCUUGCCAGGCCCUGCCCUGCCCUGCCCUGCCCUCGAGGAGAGCAGGCACCAUCUACUUAAG